AAAUCUCCGGGCUCAACCCGAAAUGGCGUUGGAUACUGUCCGGCUAGAGGGUUGGAGGGGGGACUGGAAUACUUGGUGUAGCAGUGAAAUGCGUAGAUAUCAAGUGGAACACCAGUGGCGAAGGCGAGUCCCUGGACAACUCCUGACACUGAGGCACGAAAGCUAGGGGAGCAAACAGGAUUAGAUACCCUGGUAGUCCUAGCUGUAAACGGUGCACGUUUGCUGUAAAAGGAAUCGACCCCUUUUGUGGCGUACGUAACGCGUUAAACGUGCCGCCUGGGAAGUACGGUCGCAAGAUUAAAACUCAAAGAAAUUGACGGGGGCCUGCACAAGCGGUGGAGUAUGUGGCUUAAUUCGAUGCAACGCGAAGAA
rnacentral:rRNA from 1 species